rnacentral:rRNA from 1 species
GAUGAACGCUGGCGGCGUGCCUAAUACAUGCAAGUCGAGCGAACAGACGAGGAGCUUGCUCCUCUGACGUUAGCGGCGGACGGGUGAGUAACACGUGGAUAACCUACCUAUAAGACUGGGAUAACUUCGGGAAACCGGAGCUAAUACCGGAUAAUAUAUUGAACCGCAUGGUUCAAUAGUGAAAGACGGUUUUCCUGUCACUUAUAGAUGGAUCCGCGCCGCAUUAGCUAGUUGGUACGGUAACGGCUUACCAAGGCAACGAUGCGUAGCCGACCUGAGAGGGUGAUCGGCCACACUGGAACUGAGACACGGUCCAGACUCCUACGGGAGGCAGCAGUAGGGAAUCUUCCGCAAUGGGCGAAAGCCUGACGGAGCAACGCCGCGUGAGUGAUGAAGGUCUUCGGAUCGUAAAACUCUGUUAUUAGGGAAGAACAAAUGUGUAAGUAACUAUGCACGUCUUGACGGUACCUAAUCAGAAAGCCACGGCUAACUACGUG